rnacentral:rRNA from 1 species
AACGCGAAGAACCUUACCUACCCUUGACAUCCUCGGAACCUGCUAGAGAUAGUGGGGUGCCUUCGGGAACCGAGAGACAGGUGCUGCAUGGCUGUCGUCAGCUCGUGUCGUGAGAUGUUGGGUUAAGUCCCGUAACGAGCGCAACCCUUGUCCUUAGUUGCCAACAGGUAAAGCUGGGAACUCUAAGGAGACUGCCGGUGAUAAGCCGGAGGAAGGUGGGGAUGACGUCAAGUCCUCAUGGCCCUUACGGGUAGGGCUACACACGUGCUACAAUGGACGGUACAAAGGGAAGCGAAGCCGCGAGGUGAAGCGAAUCUUGAGAAAGCCGUUCGUAGUCCGGAUUGGAGUCUGCAACUCGACUCCAUGAAGUUGGAAUCGCUAGUAAUCGCAGAUCAGAACGCUGCGGUGAAUACGUUCCCGGGCCUUGUACACACCGGUACUA